AUUGAACGCUGGCGGCAGGCUUAACACAUGCAAGUCGAGCAGGGUGAUGGUGCUUGCACUAUCACUUAGCGGCGGACGGGUGAGUAAUGCUUAGGAAUCUGCCUAUUAGUGGGGGACAACAUCUCGAAAGGGAUGCUAAUACCGCAUACGUCCUACGGGAGAAGGCAGGGGAUCACUGUGACCUUGCGCUGAUAGAUGAGCCUAAGUCGGAUUAGCUAGUUGGUGGGGUAAAGGCCUACCAAGGCGACGAUCUGUAGCGGGUCUGAGAGGAUGAUCCGCCACACUGGGAGUGGGACACGGCCCAGACUCCUACGGGAGGCAGCAGUGGGGAAUAUUGGACAAUGGGUGGAACCCUGAUCCAGCCAUGCCGCGUGUGUGAAGAAGGCCUUAUGGUUGUAAAGCACUUUAAGCGAGGAGGAGGCUCUUUUGGUUAAUACCCAAGAUGAGUGGACGUUACUCGCAGAAUAAGCACCGGCUAACUCUGUGCCAGCCGCCGCCGUAA
rnacentral:rRNA from 1 species